rnacentral:misc_RNA from 1 species
UACGGAGGGUGCGAGCGUUAAUCGGAAUUACUGAGCGUAAAGCGCGCGUAGGCGGCUUGGUAAGUCGGAUGUGAAAGCCCUGGGCUCAACCUGGGAAUUGCAUUCGAUACUGCCGAACUAGAGUAUGGUAGAGGGAAGUGGAAUUUCCGGUGUAGCGGUGAAAUGCGUAGAUAUCGGAAGGAACACCAGUGGCGAAGGCGACUUCCUGGGCCAAUACUGACGCUGAGGUACGAAAGUGUGGGGAGCAAACAGG